rnacentral:lncRNA from 1 species
ACACCGUCUGGCCACCUUCCUGAAAGCACUCCACUUGUGUCUUUGCCACUCAAAAAAUGCUAACUCCAGAGAUCUGCAGCUGCCACCCAGACUCCGGUCGCCGGCCUUCACACUAUCGCGCAGCGGCCCGUAUCCCCGGAAUCGCUUGCGACAGCGGGCACUACAGAUGCAACUCCCCCCGCUCCAAACACAACCAACCUCACAGGGAGACCAUCGACGUCGACCAGUAUGCCUGGUGUACACCCGUCUAUACAGGCUCGUUCUCCAGAUUCUGGAGGAUGGCCUGUGUCGUGCGCCGCAACAAGAACACCGUUGAUUUCCUGUUCCUUGGAUGUAAGCUGACCUGAUGGUUGACUGUGUCUGGGCUUCCACUCCACAAGAUAGCGCCUGCAUGUUCCUCGACUCUUUGUCUGCACAUCAUACGGUGUUCGCCCCUCGAUUUUGGACUGCUGGAAGACGUUUCCGGAGACUGCCUGGAAAAGCCGACCUUAUGAACGCCGGUCUUGAACAGCAGACGACGUGACGAAGCGCCUGAUGUCAUCGCGUUUCGACGUCAGAGGGGCCGGUUCUGCAGCCACUAUUGCGAAGAUAUCAAUGAUACAAAGCACGGUUUCGCACAUGCCAUUGCUCUUGAAGUCGUGCUCUAAGGAAUGGGCCAGUGAACCGUCAACGUCGAGUAUCGUUUAUUCGAAAGAGAACAUUUUAAUAGGCUGGUACCGGUCUGUUUUUCCAGUUCGUGAAGAGUCAGUUGUCGCCGUGAUCCCAGGAUCCAUGCGCUGGUGCUUCACGACCCGGGGGAACAGCUGUCAGGACUGGCGUACGGGAAUCGCCUGCCACGUGCAUGUGCGCUUCAGAAGCAAAUCAUGUUUACGCGCGUGAGUUGGAGAGUUCGAGUCGAAAGAAGCACCCCCACUGUUU